GGCGUGAGACCUCGGGCUACAACACGGGACCCGGGCGCUGCUCCGACCCCUCGUGUCUUGUGUUGCAGCCGGAGGGGCGCA
rnacentral:pre_miRNA from 1 species